GUGGCUCACAUCUGUAAUCCCAGCACUUUGGGAGGUUGAGACACAAGAAUGGUUUGAACUGGCGAGGUGGAGGUUGCAGUGAGCUGAGAUUGUGCCACUGCACUCCACCCUGGGUGACAGAAUGAGACUCUGUCUAAAAAGAAAAAAAAAAAAACAAUUUAUAUAUAGCAGUACAUAUUAGAAUAUCACAAUAAGAUAAGAAAUGUGGAAAUGUUUAGGCUCAUUCUUUAUAUACAUAGGAUUGACUUAUUUGGUGAUCCUUAUGAUUGACUUAUUUGUUUAGAGGGAGGACUGAGUGAGUGCUGAGUGGAGGAUGAUUUGUGUUUAAUGAGAGAGAGAACAGAGAGACAGCAGGGAGAGGAAGAGAGAGAGUGUGUGUGUGUGUCUGUGUGUG